rnacentral:rRNA from 1 species
ACGGAAGGCAGCAGUGGGGAAUAUUGGACAAUGGGGGAAACCCUGAUCCAGCGACGCCGCGUGAGUGAAGAAGUAUUUCGGUAUGUAAAGCUCUAUCAGCAAGGAAGAAAAUGACGGUACUUGACUAAGAAGCUCCGGCUAAAUACGUGCCAGCAGCCGCGGUAAUACGUAUGGAGCAAGCGUUAUCCGGAUUUACUGGGUGUAAAGGGAGCGUAGACGGUAAAGCAAGUCUGAAGUGAAAUCCCGGGGCUCAACCCCGGAACUGCUUUGGAAACUGUUUAACUAGAGUGCAGGAGAGGUAAGCGGAAUUCCUAGUGUAGCGGUGAAAUGCGUGGAUAUUAGGAGGAACACCAGUGGCGAAGGCGGCUUACUGGACUGUAACUGACGUUGAGGCUCGAAAGCGUGGGGAGCAAACAGGAUUAGAUACCCUGGUA